AUUGAACGCUGGCGGCAGGCCUAACACAUGCAAGUCGAACGGUAACAGGAAACAGCUUGCUGUUUCGCUGACGAGUGGCGGACGGGUGAGUAAUGUCUGGGAAACUGCCUGAUGGAGGGGGAUAACUACUGGAAACGGUAGCUAAUACCGCAUAACGUCGCAAGACCAAAGAGGGGGACCUUCGGGCCUCUUGCCAUCGGAUGUGCCCAGAUGGGAUUAGCUAGUAGGUGGGGUAACGGCUCACCUAGGCGACGAUCCCUAGCUGGUCUGAGAGGAUGACCAGACACACUGGAACUGAGACACGGUCCAGACUACUACGGGAGGCAGCAGUGGGGAAUAUUGAACAAUGGGCGCAAGCCUGAUGCAGCCAUGCCGCGUGUAUGAAGAAGGCAUUCGGGUUGUAAAGUACUUUCAGCGGGGAGGAAGGGAGUAAAGUUAAUAACUUUACUCAUUGACGUUACCCGCAGAAGAAGCACCGGCUAACUCUGUG
rnacentral:rRNA from 1 species